rnacentral:rRNA from 1 species
UACGGGGGGAGCAAACGUUGUUCGGAAUCACUGGGCGUAAAGGGCGCGUAGGCGGCCUGUUAAGUCGAACGUGAAAUCCCCGGGCUCAACCCGGGAACUGCGUCCGAUACUGUCAGGCUAGAGGUAGGUAGGGGAGAUCGGAAUUCCUGGUGUAGCGGUGAAAUGCGCAGAUAUCAGGAGGAACACCGGUGGCGAAGGCGGAUCUCUGGGCCUUACCUGACGCUCAGGCGCGAAAGCUAGGGGAGCGAACAGG